GCAGGGAGGAUCUGCUGAUCUGGUGAGUCCCCAGUUGCUGUUCAGCACAUGAAUGGGCUCCACCGUGGCAGCAGUUCCAGCUCUAAACCAAAGUCCAAGCUGCUUCCAAAGGACAGAGCUCUGGUAAGCAAAGCUACAUCCACACUUUGAUAAUCUCCCAAACCUUUUGGUCUUUGCCCUCUUGAGCACCAUCACUUCAUACAUCUGGUUUGCUGCAACCUAAAUGCUGCUCUACCUCCCACUUGAUCCAGAUCAGCAGAGCCUCUGCUUGUCUCUGUUUUAAACCCCAGACUUUCAUCUCUAGUGAAUUUUAAUUUCCAGUGUAGUUUCAUUUUCUCUUGGACUCCAGUUUUCAGCCCCAGAAGACAAACAGUCGUCUAGUCUGGCUCCCACAGAUGUGAAAUGUAUCAGUGAAGUUCUCUGCUGACUUUUCUGUACGUGGGAAAAUAAUGUUCUUUCUGGGUCCUUCUAAAUCCUUUUGUUCCUUCCCCCACCCUUUCCUGUAUUAUCAUGGCUUGGCCACUUGUCCUUCAGGAGUUACUCUCGUUUCCUGGUGUCUUCACAAUAUAAGAAGUUUCAUGCCAAACACAGCAUAGACAAAAUUCCUGACAAUCAGCACCUGAGGCUACCUGUGGAACAGCAAAUUACUUUUCCAUAACCAUCUUCACAAAGGCAAUUCAAGCGUCCCACUUGAAGCCUUCCUGUCUUUGACUGCAUUUUAAAUGCACUGUAUUUAUUCAGUGCAUCAAUAGUGGUCCUGUCAUUGUCACACCCUGUCCCAGAACAGAACGUGUCACCUGAGUGCAAAGAGGAGACUCUGCCGCGGGACAGACUGAACUCAGUCACUGUCACAGGUACAGACUGCAGCAUUUCCCUUUUCCUCAUUGCCACAACACUGAGUCACUCAGUAAGACUGUGAUACUUGUCUAAUCAGGUUUUAUCCAUGCUGAGGUUAGUGCAGGAGAGGACUUAGAGAGAACUAACCGUCUUCUCAGCAGAUUUUUGUCUUUCUCUUAGUUCUAAUAUAUUUCAUAGUAAAUAAGUUCCUCCCACAUUGGAAUUAUUGGCUGUAAAUGCUUGUCUCUAUCUCCAUGAUAAACUGAGGCACAACCUGGUGAAAACUGCCCCAAGUACUGCAAAUCCCUGCCCCCUUCCCCAAAAAUGCAAACCCAACCCUAAACCCAACCCUAAAUAUUGUGAAGAAAACAGGAGGGGGGAAAAAAAAAAGUCACAUUCCUGUUCUGAAAGAGUGUUUGUAGAUUCCCCUUCAGCAAGGACGAAAGAUAUAAAAACUCAAAGCAAUUCAAAUAUAGGUCUCUUUCAACUUUAAUAUUUUGUUUAUGUUUGCUCCUCAAAAGUCUUUCAGUUACAUAAAAAUACAGUUAAAGUAUUAAUCAUUCCUUUAAACAUUAAAUAGGUGGAUUUGCUUUCCCAUGUGUGUUUUUAAAGCUUGUAUUAUUGAUCGAUAAAUAUGAAAAUAGUUCCCUCCCUCCCGUUUUUUUCUCCUUUGGUGAGCUGUGGUUACUCUCACUGCCAGGAUUUUCCUGAAAAUGGCCAUAUAACUGUAGUAUAAAGUCAUCCCUGCAAACACUGACUUAAAGAAAAAAAAAUACAAGCCUGCUAAUGUGAAAUCCUGUUUUGGUGUGGCCAAAAUCUAAAAUUCUAAAAGAAGCUGUAACGUGUUAUAACAUGAGGAAACCCCUUUCACCAAGAUCUUUUCUGUAAGUAACUGGGUGAGAUCUGAAGGUGUCAGUUCAAAUCACAAUCUUCUUGGAAAAACUGUGAGUCUUUACCACAUGUGAAUAUUGCAGGUAUGUUAUUAUUAAAAAUUAUAUAUAUAUUUAUAUAAAAGAAAUAUAUAUAUGUAAGAAAGAGCCAUUUCUUGAGCUGUCCCAUUUUAUUAGGCAGAUAAAAACUAUAAAGGAUCAUCAGAGUCCCGUGCUUCAAAUGCAGCCCUCCAAAGAGAGGGAAUUUCCACGGAUGCGCCCCUGGUCCGUGGGGAUGAGCUUCCCUGUUUCUCUGUGGCACAUCAUAUUGGCCCUGGCAUCCCAGAGAAGGGAUGAAUAAAUAAGAGAGAAACCUGAAAGCCAGAAUCAGGAGAUCAGGUGAAAGGAAUCCAGUAUCCUGAGCUAAAAUGGAUUCAGAUCUAUAGAAGGAAGAAGGGGAGGUUUGUGUUAAUGAGGUUUGUCACAUACCCUUCCCUAGAGGGGGUGACCCAGAUGUUGCUCCACUGUGUGUGAGCGUUUUUUUUCUUUGCUCUGUGUUGUACCUUCAGGUAGGACAGUUUGGGAUUAUAGGAAUGACUGCCAGUUUUGCAGUGUUGAGUGUAAACAUACUCCAAACAAACCCCUUCACAGGCACUUAAGAACAGAUUCCUCUUGAAGAUCCUCUGUACAGCUUGUCAAGUGUCCUUCCAGUGGUGUGUUAAAACUACAGGUUUGCAGAUAAUCCAUCCUAAUCCAUCCUAAUGUUUCCUCUGAGUGUUUUGCUUUGGUCUAUUUAAAAAGUGAAUCUUUGCAGCUUUAUCUUACAGUUCCUUUGAAUUCUGGUGGUUUAGUGCCACGGGUUUUUCCGUAAGAGCAGCACAGUCCUUGGUUAAUGCCUGGAGGAGGACAAGGUUACACUCUGUACUGAGAUAUGAUUCACGAGUCGGUAAUUAGAGAGGCUGCUUGAUACAAAGAGCCAACAACAGCAAGAAUAACAAACAAAAAAAAAAAAAGACAAAAAAAAAAGACAAAAAAAAGAGGGGAAAAAAACCAGCAGAACAUUGAAUGAGGUGAGAAAUGUUCACUGGGAAGGAGAGCUCAGGAAGUACGUAAGUGUGAGGAGCAGCAGCAGGAGCUUUGCCGGGGGCAGGACGGUGCUGGCGCUGGACCAGGACACCUUGCGCCCGUUCAGGGGCUGGAUGGGCCGGAAAUUUUCAAUCAUGGGAGUUGAGUUCUUCCCAUCAAAGUGCAGAGCUGCAAACUGAGAGAGCUGCAGGUGGAGAAGGAGAGAAUAGGUCGUUAAACCUUCUUUUUUUUCCCCGCAGGGCUCUGGGAAUUGCGGUGUCGCGAACGCGCGGGUUUGAGCGGUGUGGGUGCGUUAAAGCUUGCAGGAAACACCGUGACAGGGGCCACGGCCAGAGGUCACCCACAGAUGACUCCUGCCAGCCUUGGAAAUCAGGGGCACUUCCUCUCUGUGUGAGCCAAAUGCUUUGUUCACCUCAAGAACCUGGUCACCCCCGUCCUCCUGACGCACGCGGCCCUGUCCUUGUCCCCCACGUCACAGUGACACAAGGCCUGUGUGUGCACCAGAGAGUGGCCUGACCUCCAGCUGAGCUCAUCCCCACUGGGACACGGCAGAACAGGGAGUUCCAGGCACAGAAUGUCACCAAGUGCCUUAAUCGAUAUUCUGAUCAAUAAAUGCCCAAAGAAUGCCAGGUAAGGAGACCUUCACAUGCUUGGUUCUGUUCCAUGAGUCAAUGUUUGUGUGGCUAAAUGACUCCAGGCAUAUUUUUGGCAACUCAGUGGUCAACCCGUGCUUUAACAGUUUCCCACCAGCACAUCGGGAUUGGGAUUUUCUUGGCAAUUUAUACAUGAGUGAACCUUUAGGAGAAAGAAAGCAGGGAAUAACCUGGGCAUGAGAGGACAGCCACCUGCAAAGAUUUGCUCUCAAAGCCUUUGGGAGGUGAGUUAAAGCAGAGAGGAGAGUUGCCAGGUGAGAACUCAAGGUCAGGUGAGGAACCCCAGGCUAUUUACCCCAAACUGCUGGGUUUGCACAGGGCCUUGCACAA